rnacentral:rRNA from 2 species
UAGGGAAUCUUCGGCAAUGGACGAAAGUCUGACCGAGCAACGCCGCGUGAGUGAAGAAGGUUUUCGGAUCGUAAAACUCUGUUGUUAGAGAAGAACAAGGACGUUAGUAACUGAACGUCCCCUGACGGUAUCUAACCAGAAAGCCACGGCUAACUACGUGCCAGCAGCCGCGGUAAUACGUAGGUGGCAAGCGUUGUCCGGAUUUAUUGGGCGUAGAGCGAGCGCAGGCGGUUUCUUAAGUCUGAUGUGAAAGCCCCCGGCUCAACCGGGGAGGGUCAUUGGAAACUGGGAGACUUGAGUGCAGAAGAGGAGAGUGGAAUUCCAUGUGUAGCGGUGAAAUGCGUAGAUAUAUGGAGGAACACCAGUGGCGAAGGCGGCUCUCUGGUCUGUAACUGACGCUGAGGCUCGAAAGCGUGGGGAGCAAACAGG